rnacentral:rRNA from 1 species
AGCGUAGACGGAUGGACAAGUCUGAUGUGAAAGGCUGGGGCUCAACCCCGGGACUGCAUUGGAAACUGCCCGUCUUGAGUGCCGGAGAGGUAAGCGGAAUUCCUAGUGUAGCGGAGAAAUGCGUAGAUAUUAGGAGGAACACCAGUGGCGAAGGCGGCUUACUGGACGGUAACUGACGUUGAGGCUCGAAAGCGUGGGGAGCAAACA